GCCGCCUGCACCUGCGAGACCGCUUACGUAAACUGCGUCCCGCCCACCUCGCGGCGCCUGGUUCGGGCGGCGGCCGCACCUGAGCCCCGCUGCGCCCGCAACGUAAGCGCUGCUGAGCGGAGGCCAGCUGCUGGAGAGAGGGAAAGGCGCGGAAACUUCGUAACUGCGGAAUCUGAGAGCAGCUUCCGGCCGCAACAACGAGCCGGUCUUCCCAGGCUCCACGCCCCGGUGCGGGACGCUUCCCCACCCUCAGCCUCUACGCAAACGGAAUCUCCAGGCUGUUCAUGUGCAUGCUACAGCUUGAGAAGCACUGGCCCAAAUGCAACAAGGACAGACCAAUCAAACGGAGCCUCCAAUUCCCAGUUUACAGAGAGUUUUCCUGUACCUCAUCCCAUCACUGACUGUCUACAGAUGUUCUUAGAUUCUCUGAGAAACACAGCAGCCUCUUCAUACAAACAAGGGCCGCAAGACUGGGCUUCUACACUGAGUGCCACUAAAUAGGAAAGUUCUGUCUUGGAAAUUUAACAAAACUGGAGAGGUUUGCUUUG